UGGACAGGCUGAAAGCAGGGUAACACCUGCCGGAGGGCCGAACCUACUGUCGUUGCAAAGCCAGAGGAUGAUCUGGGACUAGGGGUGAAAGGCCAAUCAAACCCGGUGAUAGCUGGUUCUCCCCGAAAGCUAUUUAGGUAGCGUCCUGCAGGGGCGUAUGGGGGUAGAGCACUGUUAUAGGAAGGGGUUCAUUGCGAACUACCGACCUAUUGCAAACUACGAAUACCAUACAGUUGUAAGCAGGGGACACACAGUGGGUGCUAACGUUCAUUGUGAAGAGGGAAACAACCCGGACCGCCAGCUAAGGUCCCAAAGUUCUGAUUAAGUGGGAAACGAUGUGGGAAGGCAUAGACAGCCAGGAUGUUGGCUUAGAAGCAGCCAUCAUUUAAAGAAAGCGUAAUAGCUCACUGGUCGAGUCGGCCUGCGCGGAAGAUGUAACGGGGCUCAAAUCAGACACCGAAGCUGCGGAUUUGUACUUAGGUACAAGUGGUAGGGGAGCGUUGUGUAAGCCUGAGAAGAUGUACUGGAAGGUAUGUUGGAGGUAUCACAAGUGCGAAUGCUGACGCAAGUAACGAUAAAACGAGUUAAAUGCUCGUUCGCCGGAAGACCAAGGUUUCCUGUCCAACGUUAAACGGGGCAGGGUUAGUCGGAACCUAAGGCGAGGAUGAAAAUCGUAGUCGAAGGGAAACGGGUUAAUAUUCCCGUACUUGGAUAUGUUGCGAUGAGGUGACGGAGGAGGUAAGGUUAGCCAGCCGAUGGUUGUGCUGGUGAAAGGCAGUAGGUAGUAAGAAGGGUUAAAAGACUUUUUACGAUAAUCUGAGAGCCGAGACGAAUUAACUACGGUUAAGAAGUAACCCUAUCCAGACUUCCAGGAAAAGCCUCUAAGCUACAGACAUAUACAAUCCGUACCCCAAACCGACACAGGUGGUCGGGUAGAAGAUACCAAGGCGCUUGGGAGAACCCGGGUGAAGGAACUAGGCAAAAUUGUACCGUAACUUCGGGAGAAGGUACGCUGUGGUUUGUAAUAAGAUUUACUCUUAGAGCGAACUGCAGCCGCAGAUAAAUGGUGGCUGGGACUGUUUAACAAAAACAUAGCACUCUGCAAACCUGAAAGGGGAAGUAUAGGGUGUGACACCUGCCCGGUGCCGGAAGGUUAAAUGAUGAGGUUAGAGCAAUCGAAGCCUCUGAGUGAAGCCCCGGUAAACGGCGGCCGUAACUAUAACGGUCCUAAGGUAGCGAAAUUCCUUGUCGGGCAAGUUCCGACCUGCACGAAUGGUGUAACCAUGGCCACGCUGUCUCCACCCGGGACCCAGUGAAACCGAAAUCGCUGUGAAGAUGCAGUGUACCCGCGGCUAGACGGAAAGACCCCGUGAACCUUUACUGCAGCUUGACACUGAACCUUGAACCUGUUUGUGCAGGAUAGGCGGGAGACUUUGAAGUAGAGACGCCAGUCUUUAUGGAGUCGACCUUGAAAUACCGCCCUGAUAUGUUUGAGGUUCUAACUUGAAGGUAACAGCCUUAAGGACAGUGUCUGGUGGGAAGUUUGACUGGGGCGGUCUCCUCCCAAAGAGUAACGGAGGAGCACGAAGGUCGGCUGAUCACGGUCGGAAACCGUGAGGUCAGUGCAAUGGCAAAAGCCGGCUUGACUGCGAGAGCAACAACUCGAGCAGGUGCGAAAGCAGGUCAUAGUGAUCCGGUGGUUCCAUAUGGACGGGCCAUCGCUCAACGGAUAAAAGGUACUCUGGGGAUAACAGGCUGAUACCGCCCAAGAGUUCAUAUCGACGGCGGUGUUUGGCACCUCGAUGUCGGCUCAUCACAUCCUGGGGCUGAAGUUGGUCCCAAGGGUAUGGCUGUUCGCCAUUUAAAGUGGUACGCGAGCUGGGUUCAAAACGUCGUGAGACAGUUUGGUCCCUAUCUACCGCGGGCGUUGGAUGAUUGAAGGGGAUUGCUCCUAGUACGAGAGGACCGGAGUGAACGAGCCUCUGGUUUACGGGUUGUCAUGCCAAUGGCACGGCCCGGCAGCCAAGCCCGGAACUGAUAACCGCUGAAAGCAUCUAAGCGGGAAGCAGGCCCUAAGAUGAGUCAUCCCUGACUUUAAGUCAAUAAAGACCGUUGAAGACUACGACGUUGAUAGGCUGGAUGUGGAAGCACCGUGAGGUGUGUAGCUUGCCAGUACUAAUUGUCUGAACGUCUUGACCAU
rnacentral:rRNA from 1 species